GAACUUUCCCCUGCCAUCUGUACCCAGAAGACAUUGCUUCGCUACACAGCAGUUGUCGGAGGCCACAGGAAGCCGAGGACCCGGGCGGUGGCCCCAGAUGGCUGACAGCUUCAGGAGGCAGGCUGCAGGAUGGCAGAGGAUCUUUACAUCUAAAGGGCCACUCUCCAUGGCCCUGUCCUUGGCCAGCUCCUUGUGACACUGCAACUCCGGGCAAUGUUUCCUGACCCUGCAGCCAUUUUGGUGGAAUUGUCAGCAGAGCCUGAGGUACAAGGCUCUGCCAAUGCUGAAGAUGAAGAGGAUGCUGAAGAUGAAGAGGAUGCUGAAGAUGAAGAGCGAACUGCAGAAAUGGCUGCAGACUGCUAAGCUGUAGUUCCUCGCUCUCCUGUUCAUCUGUGCACGUAGGCUGUCAGCGACAGGGGACUGGUGGCAGCUGAAGAAACACGUUCUGACAAAUGUUCAUCGGGGAGAGCAAAGCAAAAUGGUCAGGGCGGUGGAGAGAAGCGGCCAUGUGGAGCGGGAAGCAAGGACGUGAACUGGUGAAGCGGCUGCCCUUCCUCAAGCUCUGCCGUCAGCUUGAUACCUGAGAAAAUAAAUGGAGGAAAUCUUA
ensembl:lincRNA Gm12973 predicted gene 12973